rnacentral:tRNA from 1 species
GCCUGGAUGGCGAAAUCGGUAGACGCAAGGGACUUAAAAUCCCUCGGGGGUAACCCCGUGCCGGUUCGACCCCGGCUCCGGGCACCA